GACGAACCGUGCGAACGUUGUUCGGAAUCACUGGGCUUAAAGGGCGCGUAGGCGGCCCGCCGCGUCCGGGGUGAAAUCCUCCCGCUCAACGGGAGAACGGCCUCGGAUACGGGCGGGCUGGAGGCGGGUAGGGGCACGCGGAACUGUGGGUGGAGCGGUGAAAUGCGUUGAGAUCCACAGGAACUCCGGUGGCGAAGGCGGCGUGCUGGACCCGUCCUGACGCUGAGGCGCGAAAGCCAGGGGAGCGAACGGG
rnacentral:rRNA from 1 species